rnacentral:snoRNA from 1 species
UGAUGACAGUCUCCGGAAUCGCUGCACCGCGUUGAUGAAAGCGCAUUUGAACCCUUUUCCAUCUGACGACUGAGCGUUUUCCUU